GACGAACGCUGGCGGCGUGCUUAACACAUGCAAGUCGAACGGAAAGGCCCUGCUUUUGUGGGGUGCUCGAGUGGCGAACGGGUGAGUAACACGUGAGUAACCUGCCCUUGACUUUGGGAUAACUUCAGGAAACUGGGGCUAAUACCGGAUAGGAGCUCCUGCUGCAUGGUGGGGGUUGGAAAGUUUCGGCGGUUGGGGAUGGACUCGCGGCUUAUCAGCUUGUUGGUGGGGUAGUGGCUUACCAAGGCUUUGACGGGUAGCCGGCCUGAGAGGGUGACCGGCCACAUUGGGACUGAGAGACGGCCCAGACUCCGACGGGAGGCAGCAGUGGGGAAUAUUGCACAAUGGGCGGAAGCCUGAUGCAGCAACGCCGCGUGCGGGAUGACGGCCUUCGGGUUGUAAACCGCUUGCGCAUGUGACGAAGCGUGAGUGACGGUAAUGGGUAAAGAAGCACCGGCUAACUACGUG
rnacentral:rRNA from 1 species